rnacentral:lncRNA from 1 species
UCUGAUGCAAGAGUAGGUAGAUGCCCAUGCUGAAUCUUGAAUGCUUCUUGUGAUUAAAAACCAUAGAUUGAUAAGAUAGAUGCCAUGUUUUAUUGGUUUGUGCGAGUCUUUUUGUUGUCGUCGAACUUCAUUGACCCUUAGAGAUUAGAUGUCAUACUUCUAAGAAUAGUUGGAUAUUAUACUCUACCAUAAGGUAGUAUUCAUGUCUUGGAGAACUUAUGUGUAUAAGUACUCUGCCAUAAGACUUAUAUGACUGGUUUUUCAACACCGGUUUAGUAGUUAGUAAUCGGAAGACUAGGAACUCAAAUAUAUAUGAUUGUGACAGUGAAGUUAGAAGCCCUAGCAUUCAUCCAUCAUUGUUUUACAACUUUUCAAAACAUUUUCUCAAUUAUCUUGUGUGACAUUCUCAAUUUGCUUGAUUUACUCUUUUCUUAUUGUAUACAAAAAUCACAAAAAUAUCUUCUUGUUUUCUUGUUAGUCGUUAGAGUAAUUUGGUCAUUAGUUAGAGUUGAAAGUUAGUUAUCUAUCCCUAGUUGGAACGACCUCGUAUUUGCAUAUAAGCUAUACUACAAACGAUUCGUGCACUUGCGAAGUUUUUAAAAUUUGACAACAGCAGUGUUCUAAAACAAGGUUGCCUAGGCGGCUUUUAGACGUUUUAAGUCUGCGCUUCAUCCUGAAAGCGCCAGUGAAUUUUCAAACCUUACUUGUACCAGGUUUUAAAUUGUAUAGUUUGUCGAAUCACCAUUUUAAAAUAACUUAAAGCUGGCAAAAAAACUAGCUAGAUGUGUUGGAAACUUUAAAUUGAGUAUUCUCAUGCUCGAUCCAUAAUUUUUUAAACACUAGUAGUCAAAUUUCUUCUCAAUCCUCCGAUCUCCUUGAUUACACCUUGGACAAAGUUGGAUGACAUCUUUUACAUAGUAUCGACAUGGCUUGUACACCGCAAAUUGAAUAAUAUAUUUAUGUAUUUUUAAUACAUAAAAAAUAUACUAAAAUAUGAAAUAAGUUCAUUACAUUGCCAAAAUUAUGUUCUAAAUUCAAUCUUUUUUUUCUUCUUUUUUGUCUAAAUUCAACACAUUGCAUAAGCAUAUUAAAAUAACAUUAAAGAGAAUUAAAUGGAAGUUAUUAAAGAGAAUCAAAUGACUAGUUCCGAUAUAUGUUGUAAAAAAAUUAGACAUCAACUUAAUAACACAACAACCCUCUAACACCUAAUAGACAAGAAAAUUUCAAUCAUUCCAUAAUUCAUCUAAACAUCUCUUUAUAAACUGUUAUAAACAUGAACGGUUUGAGUUCGACAAAAUUAUGUUCAUCCAUUGGUUUAAUCGAAUUUGAGUGCCUUAAUGAUAACCAAAUUAGCUGAAAUUUUGCAGAGAUGAUUUAUACGAGAUGUGAAAAUUCGAUUAAAAAGUAAGUGUAAAGCGGAAAUCCGCACAGUAAGAAUAAAUAAAGACCUCCUUAACCAAGAAAGCCUAUAUAUAUAUUAAAAAUUGAUGACGUGAUGUGUCGGAGGUUGAGGUGGCGUGUUGGACACGUGUCGGGCCGUGUCGGAGGUGUGUCGCCGUGUCAGGCGUGUCGGACACUCCGACACUCCAGAGGUGUGAAGUGUUCGUGCAACAUAGCUUUUAACUAUGAUUUUCAUAUCUAAAGUUGUUCUAGGACUCUAGGAGGUUUUCUUUGUAAUUUAUAUGGUAUUUUUCUUAUAUAUUAACUGAAAAUAAUUAAUUUAAGGAAAAAAUAAUUUACUAGUAGAAUGUAACAAUAAAAUCAAUGUUAUACCAUCAUAUAUAUAUGAACCUAUCUUCUAGUGUCGGAUAAGGGAUCUAUGAACUCUCCAGUACGUAUGAGACUGGAAAAUUGGUCACAGCGAUCAUGGAGACUCUAAAACUGACACAAUGCCAAUAAAGAUGAUAGAAUAACGUCGGUAUACCAAACGGCUAAUGAGUGAAUACACGUGAUUAUUUAAGCAAAAUACAACAUUAUUAAUUAUCACCGCUGCAUUAUGAUUAACUUUCUACAGAGUACAUGAUGUUGAUGAGUUUCUAUUGGAUUCUUGUAUGAUUGAAGAGCGGAUUUCAGCUAGUCAUUCAUUUUUGACAACACCAAUCGAUACAAUUCUAGCAUAAUAACUUAACAUAUAGCUAGUUAUUGCGGACUGGGGCUAUCAGGCUUUGAGCAAUAAUAACGUACAUGUGGUUGCGUGCAUGCUCACAGUGUAAAUUAGGUGACUAUCUAUCACGAUAUUUAUUUUGGUUCUUGAUUUGGUAUGGUAUGUCUGAUGGGUCCGAAGGACACAGAAGAAUGAAGAUACGGAGGAGUGAUACAACCCUUAAGCAGCGGUAACUCUAGAUUACUGGUUACUAGGUAGCUGGAAUUGACUUGAAUGAGUUUGAUCAAGAAAAAAAAAAAAAAAAAAAAAAAAACAAUGCGAGCUUACUGAAUCCAUGAGAAAGAUAAACUCGAUCUUAUAUUGAUAAAAUCAUGUUGAACUUAUAUGGUUCAACACAGAAACAAAAGCAAUGUUGGAAUACAGAAAAUAGAUAUAUGUAGUACUCAUACACGCUUAGGUCUCCCUUGAAUCAUUUCACUUUGGUUUCGAACCUUCCCUCCUCCAUGCUACUGAUUUUGUUUGAUAAAGCUAUUCGGUUUUUCUGAAGCUCAGUCGGGAGUUUAACGUCAGUUGCCAAACAAACCAUUUCAAGAAACCUUAUCAAAUACCAAGUAAUAUCGAUUUGCCACCAUUCGAAACCAUGUCGAGCUGAGUACUCAAAAGCAUGGUGAUUAUUAUGCCAACCUUCUCCAUGAGCUAGCAAUCCAAACAACCUAAACCACACAAUUCAUAAUUAGAUUUCAUUACAUGUAGAGAAAUAGAAACUAUAUAUAUACACUUUGUAAUCAUAUCAAGUGCGUAUACCAGUUGUUUUUGGACAAACCAGUAUCCCAUACUUGGUUUCGCCAUAUGUGGCAGAUCGAAUUUAUCGAAAGUGUUAUAUGGAGAACAAAUUUUGUUCUCACAGCCUACAAAUAAUCAAAAGAAUUAAACAUAGUUACGGAUUUGUUAAUAGAAAGGACGAUGCAUUUAGAUAUUAGCAAAUGUAUAUAAGAGAAGUUUAAUUACCAGUGCCCAAACUUAAUUAGGUAUUCCUCCUAUGCGAUAGAACACAACUCCACAAGCAAUACAGUGAAAAGGGUAAGUGUAAUGAAGAAACCUAUAGAAGCUUUGUUUCUUCAAAUCUCCAACAUUGUAUAGUUUUCCAUCAUACUGCACAAUUUCAAAUUUAAUUAACAAUAAGUACGUGUUAAUUCAACAAAAAAAUUAUGCAUGUAAUUAAUCAAGUGAGGAGAACAUGAGAUUUCUACGUACACUCCCAAAACGUUUACGAAAAUCAAAAAUCCCGCCAAUAUGACUAAACCAGAAACCCUUAAGAGGAGUAUGAGGGUCACUCGGCGUGUCUGUAAACUGGUGAUGACUCCUGUGCGAGCUAACCCAUUCUAAUGGACUUCCCUGUAAUAUAAACACCAAAAACCAACUUACAAAACUUUGUAAAUGAAGAUUGUAGUAACUAAAAGUGAAAAAGAAUGAAAGCUAGAGAAUAUAUGAUGAACCUGAAGUNAAUGAACGGCACAAUAGGNNNNNNNNNNNNNNNNNNNNCUACUACUCUCUACUCUCUCUCUCUCUCUCUCUCUCUCUCUCUCUCUCUCUCUCUCUCUCUCUCUCUCUCUCUCUCUCUCUCUCUCUCUCUCUCUCUCUCUAACUCAAACAAUUUGAAUACCUUUGUCUCGUCGAUCUCUCUCUCUCUCUCUCAUCUCAUUGAUAUGUCAUUUUCUUAUCAAAAUUGAUCUCGUUGCAAGAAACUAAUUCCUUUUGUAUGCUCUGUCUUCUCACUCCUCUCACAUAGUAUGUGAAUAUUCUAAUUCAAUUAAGUUCAAAGUCUACUAAUAUAUGAGUUAAGUCUACCAGUAACAUGAGCAAACUGACAUACAAAAAUAGACUUUCUGGAAAAUUAUUCUUCAUAAGAUGCAAAGUCUAGCUACUAGUAACAUGAAUUAAGUCUACCAGUAACAUGAGCUAACUAGCAUACAAAAAUAGACUUUCUGAAAAAUUGUUCACUCCUAAUGCUGGUCACUAGUCAUUAGUCACCUUAUUGACUACGUUGUCUAACUUGUUUUCUUUUCUGUCUACGUUUUGCACUAUUCACUCAAUAGCAACAUACACGGCUUAAAACAGACGAAAUACACGCUCAUGGUAACGUUUAGUGAAUUUUCAAACAUUGACUAUAUGCAGUUGAUGUGCUCAUAUUAUCUUAUAUUUCUAAGCGUCUUAUGCUUGAGAUUUGUGUUUAGUUCUCUUCUUUAUGAAUUAUUUACGUUAUUUUAGUGUUCUUGUAGGUUUGUGUCGUAUGGAGAAGAAAAUGAGCUAAAAUGCGCAAAUAAGGAUUCAAAGGCCACUGCAAUCCUAAGUCUCAAAAUCUGCAUGUGCAGAACAUCCAAACUUCUCUGAAUUACCGGGAAUUACUCAGAUCAAAUCAGACUAUGUGCCUUAUAUUAUUGGAAAACUACAUAUGUCUACUUUCUGUAGAAGUUUACGGAUCUCAAUUUCGAUACUUCUAGACCGAGUUAUGAUAGUUUGAAUGAAGAUAGGUCAAAUCAGAAAAUGUGCUCGGAUUUGCAAGCAUUUGUGGAGAACUCAAGUUCCAUGGCACAAGAUCAUCAACUCUAAUGCUUCAAGGGACAAUAAUGCAGAUGAGGAUUCAAGGAGUAAAUGUAUUCUUAGUUCUACAAUAGAUAUCUCAAGGUUUUCUCAUUCCAUAUCAAGAAAGGAGUCUGAAUCCAAGUCUUACAAAGAAACUUGAAGCCAAAGAUGAGUAGGAAAUCUCCCCUAUAUAAAGAGCACGAAUUUCAUAGAGAAGGGGCUUCCGGAGACGUGACAUAUUUGGAAGCUGUCAUCAUCACCAACCUUUCAUUCUUUUUCCCUUUUAGUCUUUUUAUGUUUUUCAUUGUUAUCAUCGUGUUUGUUAUGACUCUUAGUAACUAAAUCUUUUGUUAGGGUCAUAAUGAAUCCUUAGCAUGACUAUUUGAUGUUUUUAGUUGGAUGAUUACUUAUUUAUUGGAUUGAUGUUGAGUUUUUAAUCUCUAUAAGAAUUGUUGCUUAUUUCAAAAUACUAGAGACUCGCGACCUUUAGGGUUUUGUUUUAAGCUAUAUGAUGCAAGAGUAGGUAGAUGCCCAUGCUGAAUCUUGAAUGCUUCUUGUGAUUAAAAACCAUAGAUUGAUAAGAUAGAUGCCAUGUUUUAUUGGUUUGUGUGAGUCCUUUUGUUCUCAUCGAACUUCAUUGACCCUUAGAGAUUAGAUGCCAUACUUCUAAGAAUUGUUGGAUACUAUACUCUGUUAUAAGAUAGUAUUUAUGCUUUGGAGAACUUAUGUUUAUAAGUACUCUGCCAUAAGACUUAUAUGACGAAUUUUUCAACACCGGUUUAGUAGUUAGUAAUCGGAAGACUAGGAACUCGAAUAAGAUUGUGACGGUGAAGUUAGAAGCCCUAGCAUUCAUCCAUCAUUGUUUUACAACUUUUCAAAACAUCUUCUCAAUUAUCUUGUGUGACAUUCUCAAUUUGCUUGUUUUACUCUUUUCUUAUUGUUUACAAAAAUCACAAAAAUAUCUUCUUGUUUUCUUGUUAGUCGUUAGAGUAAUUUGGUCAUUAGUUAGAGUUGAAAGUUAGUUAUCUAUCCCUAGUUGGAACGACCUCGUAUUUGCAUAUAAGCUAUACUACAAACGAUUCGUGCACUUGCGAAGUUUUUAAAAUUUGACAACAGCAGUGUUCUAAAACAAGGUUGCCUAGGCGGCUUUUAGACGUUUUAAGUAUGAGCUUCAUCCUGAAAGGACCAGUGAAUUUUCAAACCUUACUUGUACCAGGUUUUAAAUUGUAUAGUUUGUCGAUUCACCAUUUUAAAAUAACUUAAAGCUGGCAAAAAAACUAGCUAGAUGUGUUGGAAACUUUAAAUUGAGUAUUCUCAUGCUCGAUCCAUAAUUUUUAAACACUAGUAGUCGAAUUUCUUCUCAAUCCUCCGAUCUCCUUGAUUACACCUUGGACAAAGUUGGAUGACAUCUUUUACAUAGUAUCGACAUGGCUUGUACACCGCAAAUUGAAUA